GAUGAACGCUGGCGGCGUGCCUAAUACAUGCAAGUCGAGCGAAUGGAUUAAGAGCUUGCUCUUAUGAAGUUAGCGGCGGACGGGUGAGUAACACGUGGGUAACCUGCCCAUAAGACUGGGAUAACUCCGGGAAACCGGGGCUAAUACCGGAUAACAUUUUGAACCGCAUGGUUCGAAAUUGAAAGGCGGCUUCGGCUGUCACUUAUGGAUGGACCCGCGACGCAUUAGCUAGUUGGUGAGGUAACGGCUCACCAAGGCAACGAUGCGUAGCCGACCUGAGAGGGUGAUCGGCCACACUGGGACUGAGACACGGCCCAGACUCCUACGGGAGGCAGCAGUAGGGAAUCUUCCGCAAUGGACGAAAGUCUGACGGAGCAACGCCGCGUGAGUGAUGAAGGCUUUCGGGUCGUAAAACUCUGUUGUUAGAGAAGAACAAGUGCUAGUCGAAUAAGCUGGCACCUUGACGGUACCUAACCAGAAAGCCACGGCUAACUACGUGCCAGCCGCCGCCGUAA
rnacentral:rRNA from 1 species